rnacentral:lncRNA from 1 species
AGUGCCUCACAGACAGCAUCCCAGCACAUCAUGGAGAGCUAAGUGACAGAACAGGCAGCUCCUCUUCUCCCUGGAGGGGAGAACAGAGAUGGAUUUCUAUCAAAAGGAGCCACUAUGUGCUGUUACAUGCCAUAUACAUGGGAGGUUGUGACAGUUGUAUUAAAACCUCCAGGACUGGCUAUCUAUGACUGGCUCCACAGUGCUCAGGGCAAGAAGAGUCAACUGCAGGUCUUUUGUGGCUCAUUAUCUUCUUGCUUCCAUUUCUUAAAGGGAGAAUAUGUAGAUUGGUCCCCUAACUUAGGAAGUACGGGGAAAGUAAAACCAGAAAUACUUCCCCUAACUUUGACUCGUAUAAACACAUUAAGGAAAGGAAAGGUUGAAAGGAUGUUCCCACACUCAAGGAACUUGUACAACCAAGUCAAGCGAGGCAAGUCAAGAAGAAAACAGAACCCCAAUCAUUUCUCCAGAUGCUCUGAAUCACCUCCAGGGCACAGGCAUAGAUGUUCCCCAACCCUGAAUGCUACAGCAAGUGCAUAUCUACUUACAGCAGAUUUGUAAACAGAUCUAUUCUCCACUUAAAAACAUUUUUUCAAGACCAGUGAUUAAAAAUGUAAAAACUAAAGCCUGAAAAAAUAUCAGUUCCCCUUGCAGAGCCCAGUGUUAAAAUAUAAACUCCGAUGAGUGAUUAGAAAAACACCACAGAAAUAAAUAUACAUAUACAUACAUGUGUAUUUUUUUCCAGUAGAUUUUGGCCUUUUAAUGACAUUUGUUCAUGAGAAAAAGAAAUUCGCUUGUCCCAGCACCAUAACCCCACCAACCUUCAUGGGUGUUCUGCAAAAAAAGGUCCCACAGAGACCAAGAAUAUGGUGACAUUUGGUGCUCUUCGAUCAGAGUGUGAAUAUCACCCGUUUUCUCCUUUUAGCUCUUGCAAUAAAAAUAUUCUCAGGCACGAAUCACAAUGGCACGGGCUACAGCCCCUCCUCAUGGAGUGUGAUUCUCUCUGAGCCUCGCCUUCUGCUGCGUUUGAAGGAACCUCUCCCAGGACCGAGUAGCCCUGCUGGAUCAUCCUUUGCACUUUGGAAUCAAAAGAAAAGAAACCAGAAUGGGUGUCCAUAACUACAGAGGUGUUGAAGUCAUAAAGGGCUCAGGAGGAUGGUGCAACUCUGGCCACAGUGGAGCACACUCACAGGGCAGCCAAGGAGACCCCUCUGGAGACAUGGGCAGUGUUUAAUCAUUCCCUUUGCAAAGGAUCCCCAAAUUGGGAGAGGCUGGAUGGAUGACUAAGUCAAGUUGGUGCAAAAUGAGUCACGUUUCUUGAAGGUCACUUCCCCAAAUGUAUGAGCCACCAAAGGGAAAGGAAAACUAUUUCUUAAGAGUAAUGAAAACGGCAUUAGAAAAAGUGGAUGAGAAUAUCAAAGCCAGCCAAUCCUCCUUUCUUCUUCCAUAUAUGGUGGUCCCCACCCCCAGAAGUCAAUACCAGAAACUCCUACACCAUUACUUCAGAAUAAAGAGGAAAGCAAAGUUCUCUAGUCUGCAAUCCUUUGACAUUCCAGACCACAGAUAAACACGAACCCUACCAAACCAGUAACACAAACAACCUGUGCCUCCGUGGAGGGCACGAAGGCAUGAUUCUCACAGGCACAAUCAUUAAGCUCCUUUACUUGAAACUACUGUUACAUCUUUCUGAACCUUCCAAUUCCAAUCUCAACCACAAACUGAAAGUUAAUAAAAAGCCCCUGAAUGAUUCAUAUAAAUCCUUUAAAUCUAAGAACAGGAGCCAACACUAAAAAAGCAAUAGCCCAUUUAAAUUUCAAUAGCUUGAAUGCCAGACAUCCCUGAUUGUCACAUUUUGUCACCCACCAAGUCACCAUUUCAUGUUCCUAGUUCACUGUGGGAUCCAGACAUAUUCCACUCUAACAAAUACAACUUGCCAGAAGUAUUUCUGAGUGUGGUUAUUUACGAUUUUCACAAACAACUUUUUCAAAUAUUCCUUCAAUAGGUUCUAAGAAUUAAGUAGCAUGAAAUCCAAAUCUAAAAUCAUUGUCUCCAUGCUUCAUUGAAGAAAAUGAACGUGAAAAAAUCCAAUAGCAGCUGCAAACCAUUUAAGAAUUCCUAGUUAAACUGCAAAAUACAUUUUCAACCAUUUAGCCAUAACAACUUCUAAACGGAGAAAGUUGCUUCUUUAUAUAAACCACCUCUGUUUACCAAACAUCAGAGAAUCUCCGGGCAGAGGGCUACUGCAGGAUGGGAAUAGUAAGAGAAUGUUACAACCCAUGAGGUGCUGAUCUGCACACACCACCGUGAGGAAAUACCUUAAGUGAUUAAAGACAAACGCCACCUGCAUGCUUGGCAAAGGAGUCCACUGCUAUCGCCACACACUCUCCCCAGUGAGAGAGGGGAAACGAUGGACUGAAGUCCCACAGUGGAUUAGAACUGGGCACAAAAGGAGCCAGGAACAGAAGAUGGCAGCAUAGGAAGGGAAUGUUAUGCUUUGCCCCAGCUGGGGACUCUGGCAGUAUUAUCACUUAGGCAUCCUGAAGCCCAAACUCAAGAAUAAAGAAUUAAAAUUUCAUAUCU